GCAGAGCUUGAGUACAGGAGGGGAUGCCGGAAUUUCAGGUGUAGGGGUGAAAUCUGUAGAUAUCUGGAGGAACACCAAUGGCGAAGGCAGGCAUCUGGCCAUGUACUGACGCUGAGACGCGAAGGUGCGGGGAGCAAACAGGUUUAGAUACCCUGGUAGUCCGCACAGUAAACGAUGUGCACCAGGUGGCGGGGGGUCGACCCCCGGUACCGUAGCCAACGCAUUAAGUGCACCGCCUGGGGAGUAUGCUCGCAAGGGUGAAACUCAAAGGAAUUGACGGGGGCCCGCACAAGCGGUGGAGCAUGUGGUUUAAUUCGAAGCAACGCGAAGAACCUUACCAGGUCUUGACAUCCCUCUGAAUGGCGCUUAGCAGCGCAGGUCCUUCGGGACAGAGGAGACAGGUGGUGCAUGGUUGUCGUCAGCUCGUGUCGUGAGAUGUUGGGUUAAGUCCCGCAACGAGCGCAAUCCUUGCCUUUAGUUGCCAGCACGUAAAGGUGGGCACUCUAGAGGGACUGCCGGUGACAAACCGGAGGAAGGUGAGGAUGACGUCAAAUCAUCAUGCCCCCUAUGAUCUGGGCUACACACGUGCUACAAUGGCCGGUACAACGAGAAGCGAAACCGCGAGGUGAAGCAAAUCUUUUAAAGC
rnacentral:rRNA from 1 species